AAAUGCAUUAUCAACAUUUUUAAAAUGUUUAAUCUUGUUAGGAUGAAAGAAAUUAUGACAUCCAACAGGUUCUUGAGGAGGCUACAGCCCUGGAUAUUCGAUUCAAAAUCAAGGUUCAGGAUGAGGCGGUUUGGGCCCGCGUAGAGAAAAAAACUGUGAAAACAUUGUUCAUGGUUUGUUCAUGUGUUCCUUUGGCUUAGUGGUAGAGCAUUGUGUUAGCAGUGCAAAAGGUUGUGGGUUUGAUUCCCAGGGAACACAUGUUAGGUAAAAAAAAUGUUAGCCUGAAUGCACUGUACAGUAAGUCGCUUUGGAUAAAAACGUCUGCCAAAUGCACAAAAAAAUGUACAUUUUAAAGUAGACUUAUGUGUUCUAUUCUAUACAUAUUGUUUUUAUUUACUAUUGUGUAUGCUUUAUUAAAGGGUGGAGAAGUGACCCAGGAGGAAAAAGGAGAAGAGCUGCUGCGGCAGGAGGAGGAGCAGGAGGAGGAGGAGCAUUGGUUUACAGAAAACAGAAAAACCAGCAGUAGCAGCAGCACAUACAGCUCUUUAAAGAUGAAGACCAGGCUCUGCUGGAAAGGUUGAAGAUGGGCACUCUGAAAAGGCCAAGAAAGAGGUACAAGUGUACAGGAGCUUCCCGGCAGUCCUAAGCUCAGUGUAUCCUAUCCUGUGGUGGUGGCAGAAGAGGGACCAAAUGUCAAUGCUGACCAGCUUGGCAAAAAUGUAUCUCUGUAUCCAGGUCUCUUCUACACCCUCAGAGUGGGUGUUCUCAACAGCAGGGGACACAGUGAGUGUGCAGCAGGCGCGGCUCUUACCUGAGAGAGUCGGCAUGUUGACUUUUCUCAAAAAGAAUUGCUAGAUUAGUUUGCUUUGAUUUCAGUAAAAAAAAAAAUGGUUUAUUGAACUUAAUGUUUAUGUUUUUAUUGUUUAUAUAUAUAUAUAUUUUUUUUUUGUGACAGCCAUCAGGUUGUAGAGACAGUUUGUCUAGUGUGUAAUAUUUAUAACUGAAUAAAUAAAACAUUUGAAAUUAAGAGGUUUGGACU
ensembl:lncRNA